rnacentral:rRNA from 1 species
UACAGAGGGUGCGAGCGUUAAUCGGAAUUACUGGGCGUAAAGCGUGCGUAGACGGUAGCGUAAGUCAGAUGUGAAAGCCCGGGGCUCAACCUGGGAAUUGCAUUUGAGACUGCACUGCUCGGGUGCGGAAGAGGGAAGCGGAAUUUCCGGUGUAGCGGUGAAAUGCGCAGAUAUCGGGAAGAACACCCGUGGCGAAGGCGGCACUCUGGGACGGUACUGACGCUGAGACGCGAAAGCGUGGGGAGCGAACAGG